UCAAACACACAGAUUAUAACACUGUUAGUUCAUAGAGAGGUCAAACACACAGAUUAUAACACUGUUAGUUCAUAGAGAGGUCAAACACACAGAUUAUAACACUGUUAGAGAGGUCAAACACACAGAUUAUAACACUGUUAGUUCAUAGAGAGGUCAAACACACAGAUUAUAACACUGUUAGUUCAUAGAGAGGUCAAACACACAGAUUAUAACACUGUUAGAGAGGUCAAACACACAGAUUAUAACACUGUUAGUUCAUAGAGAGGUCAAACACACAGAUUAUAACACUGUUAGAGAGGUCAAACACACAGAUUAUAACACUGUUAGUUCAUAGAGAGGUCAAACACACAGAUAAC